rnacentral:siRNA from 1 species
AGCCUACAUGCGGUAUACUGCAGG